GUGCUCACUUCAGCAGCACAUAUACUAACAUUUGAAUGACAGAGAUUAGCUUGGCCCUUACACAAGGAUGAUACGUUAAAAAAAGAAGGCAAAUGAAUAUAU